GACGAACCGUGCGAACGUUGUUCGGAAUCACUGGGCUUAAAGGGCGCGUAGGCGGGCUGCCAAGUCAGGGGUGAAAUCCUGCGGCUCAACCGUAGAAGUGCCUUUGAUACUGGUGGUCUUGAGGGAGGUAGGGGCGUGCGGAACUUCCGGUGGAGCGGUGAAAUGCGUAGAUAUCGGAAGGAACACCGGUGGCGAAAGCGGCGCGCUGGACCUCUUCUGACGCUGAGGCGCGAAAGCCAGGGGAGCGAACGGG
rnacentral:rRNA from 1 species